AACGAACGCUGGCGGCAUGCCUAACACAUGCAAGUCGAACGAAGUCUUCGGACUUAGUGGCGCACGGGUGCGUAACGCGUGGGAAUCUGCCCUUGGGUGCGGAAUAACUUCUCGAAAGGGAUGCUAAUACCGCAUAAUGUCGUAAGACCAAAGAUUUAUCGCCCAAGGAUGAGCCCGCGUAAGAUUAGCUAGUUGGUGGGGUAAAAGCCUACCAAGGCGACGAUCUUUAGCUGGUCUGAGAGGAUGAUCAGCCACACUGGGACUGAGACACGGCCCAGACUCCUACGGAGGCAGCAGUGGGGAAUAUUGCGC
rnacentral:rRNA from 1 species